ACUAUGAGACUAUAAGACUAAGAGACUAAGAGACUAUGAGACUAAGAGACUAUGAGACUAUAAGACUAAGAGACUAUGAGACUAUAAGACUAAAAGACUAAAAGACUAAGAGACUAUGAGACUAUGAGACUAAAAGACUAUGAGACUAUGAGACUAAGAGACUAAGAGACUAUAAGACUAAAAGACUAUGACUAAAAGACUUUUAAUAUUAGUCUAUUAGUCUUUUAGUCUUAUAGUCUCAUAGUCUCAGUCUCAUAGUCUCAUAGUCUUAUAGUCUUAUAGUCUUUUAGUCUCUUAGUCUUUUAGUCUUUCCCGGCCCGGACAUGGAAAGGAUUGACAGAUUGAUAGCUCUUUCUUGAUUCUGUAGGUGGUGGUGCAUGUUCUUAUUUGGUGGAGUAAUUUGUCUGGUUAAUAACGAAUGAGACUCCGGCAUGCUCACUAGUUACGCGGCCCUGUGCGGUUGGCUUUCAUCUUCUUAGAGGGACAAGUGGCGUUCAGCCACACGAGAUUGAGCAAUAACAGGUCUGUGAUGCCCUUAGAUGUCCGGGGCUGCACGCGCGCCACAAUGAGUGGAUCAGCGUGUGUCUACCCUUGGCCGAUCAGGCCUGGGUAACCCGCUGAACCCCACUCGUGAUAGGGACUGGGGAUUGCAAUUAUUUCCCAUGAACGAGGAAUUCUCUGUAAGCGCAGGUCACAAGCUCGUGCUGAUUAACUCCCUGCUCUUUGUACACACCGGCCGUCGCUACUACCGAUUGGAUGGUUGCCCAGAAGAUGAUCAAACUUGACUAUCUAGAGGAAGUAAAAGUCAUAACAAGGUUUCCGUAGGUGAACCUGAGGAAGGAUCAUUAUCAUUUUUUUGCUUGGCGCUCUCCCCCUCAGGGCAGACUGACACGAAAAGACAAAAACCACGGUUAAAAAAGCCUAGGCCGAAGCGACCUCCGGGCUCUCCUCCGGGGAUGGGACCCCAAGCUCCGCCACCGCGGAGGGCCCGGCAGAACUGGCGCUGUGGGAUGAACCGAACGCCGGGUUAAGGCGCCCGAUGACGACUCUCAUCAGACCUCAGAAAAGGGGUUGGUUGAUAUAGACAGCAGGACGGUUGCCAUGGAAGUUGGAAUCCGCUAAGGAGUGUGUAACAACUCACCUGCUGAAUCAACUAGCCCUGAAAAUGGAUGGCACUGAAGCGUUGGGCCCAUACCCGGCCGUCGCCGGCACGAGGGGCCUCGAGGGCUGAGCACUGAAGUCUAGGGUGCGGGCCCGGGUGGAGCCGCUGCGGGUGCAGAUCUUUGUGGUUGUAGCAAAUAUUCAAACAAGAACUUUGAAGGCCGAAGUGGAGAAGGGUUCCAUGUGAACAGCAGUUGAACAUGGGUCAGUCGGUCCUAAGAGAUGGGCGAACGCCGUUCGGAAGGGUGGGGCGAUGGCCUAUGUCGCCCCCGGCUGAUCAAAAGGUCCGUAACAAUGAAGUAGUAGAUUUCAGUCUCCUACUAACCCAAUGGAUCUAUCCAAACAAUAACAUUUAACUGUGUGAUGACAAAGGGCCUAUGGAAGGAUCAUUUUAUAUGUGCGAGGUGCGUAACAGAAAAGUCGUAACAAGGAUCCAAUCAAGAAUGUGAAAGGGUCAUAUCAUACCUGUGAAAUAUAUAACAAGAAAGUAAAACUCCUGGGUCCAAAUACCAAAAGGAACCAGUAAAGGGUCUUCAGUCAGACAAGACCAGAAAGUCGUAACAAUUCUAGGUGAGAACCUAUAUAGGAAUCAUACCAAACAUCUCAUAGGGCUGGGAGGGGGGUGUCUGGGUUGCCCCCGGACCUUAGUUGGGGGGGUCCUGUAUCGCUCCCCUCCACCCUGAGAGAAACCAUCUCUGGCAUGUAAAGUGCAAUUUUACAAGAAAAUUAUCCGAGGGACUCGGACCAUCUCAGUCGGCCGGUCCCAAUCGACAGAUGCGCACGGUGCGAUGACUGUGGAUGAUGUUUCGAGGGGUUUAGCGGUACCCUCAAUCGAUGUAAGACCCUGGGGCCAAAUCAGUUCUCCGGAGAACGGAGACGGGGGCGUCAUCUGACGGGAACGAGCUUGGCAGAAUCAGUGAGGAAAGAAGACCCUGUUGAGCUUGACUCUAAUCUAGCACUGUGAAGAGACAUCAGAGGUGUAGAAUAAGUGGAAGGCCUCAGCCUCGGCAGCCAGUGAAAUACCACUAAUCUUAUCGUUUUUUCACUUACCCGGUAAGGCGGGGAGGCGAGCCCCAAAUGGGCUCUCGCUUCUGGCGUCAAGCGCCCAGCCCUCCGGGAACAGUGGCAGGUGGGGAGUUUGACUGGGGCGGUACACCUGUCAAACAGUAACGUAGGUUUCCUAAAGCGAGCUCAGGGAGGACAGAAACCUUCCGUGGUGCAGAAGGGCAAAAGCUCGCUUGAUCUUGAUUUUCAGUAUGAAUACAGACCGGGGAAGCGGGGCCUCCCGAUCCUUCUGACUUUUGGGGUUUUAAGCAGGAGUUGUCAGAAAAGUUACCACAGGGAUAACUGUCUUGUCUUGUCUUGUUUUUGAUCCUUCGAUGUCGGCUCUUCCUAUCAUUGUGAAGCAGAAUUCACCAAGCGUUGGAUUUUUCACCCACUACUAGGGAACGUGAGCUGGGUUUAGACUGGCUUGAGACAGGUUAGUUUUACCCUACUGAUAAUGUGUUGUUGCAAUAGUAAUCCUGCUAAGUAUGAGAGGACCCGCAGGUUCAGACAUUUGGUGCAUGUGCUUGGCUGAGGAGCCAAUGGUGCUACCAUCUGUGGGAUUAUGACUGAACGCCUCUGUCAGAAUAAUUUUAUUAUCCCAUAUUUGCUAAAUACUUGUGUGAUAUUCUAGGCCUAUGAGUUAACCAUUUAUGUACUACAAUUCUUUGAUUUAUAAUGUACCAAUCACUUGUCACUUGUUG
rnacentral:rRNA from 1 species